AGUCGGUGAUGAUUUUAUAUAAGAGUAGUGGACAGAAGUGAUUUCUGAGCAAUUUCAACCUGAGACU